AGUGAACGCUGGCGGUAGGCCUAACACAUGCAAGUCGAACGGCAGCACAGGAGAGCUUGCUCUCUGGGUGGCGAGUGGCGGACGGGUGAGGAAUACAUCGGAAUCUACUCUGUCGUGGGGGAUAACGGAGGGAAACUUACGCUAAUACCGCAUACGACCUACGGGUGAAAGCAGGGGACCUUCGGGCCUUGCGCGAUUGAAUGAGCCGAUGUCGGAUUAGCUAGUUGGCGGGGUAAAGGCCCACCAAGGCGACGAUCCGUAGCUGGUCUGAGAGGAUGAACAGCCACACUGGAACUGGGACACGGGCCAGGCUCCUACGGGAGGCAGCAGUGGGGAACAUUGGACAAUGGGCGGAAGCCUGAUCCAGCCAUACCGCGUGGGUGAAGAAGGCCUUCGGGUUGUAAAGCCCUUUUGUUGGGAAAGAAAUCCAGCUGGCUAAUACCCGGUUGGGAUGACGGUACCCAAAGAAUAAGCACCGGCUAACUUCGUGCCAGCAGCCGCCGUAA
rnacentral:rRNA from 1 species